rnacentral:rRNA from 1 species
CCUACGGGAGGCAGCAGUAGGGAAUCUUCCACAAUGGGCGCAAGCCUGAUGGAGCAACACCGCGUGAGUGAAGAAGGGUUUCGGCUCGUAAAGCUCUGUUGUUGGAGAAGAACGUGCGUGAGAGUAACUGUUCACGCAGUGACGGUAUCCAACCAGAAAGUCACGGCUACCUACGUGCCAGCAGCCGCGGUAAUACGUAGGUGGCAAGCGUUAUCCGGAUUUAUUGGGCGUAAAGAGAGCGCAGGCGGUUGCUUAGGUCUGAUGUGAAAGCCUUCGGCUUAACCGAAGAAGGGCAUCGGAAACCGGGCAACUUGAGUGCAGAAGAGGACAGUGGAACUCCAUGUGUAGCGGUGGAAUGCGUAGAUAUAUGGAAGAACACCAGUGGCGAAGGCGGCUGUCUGGUCUGCAACUGACGCUGAGGCUCGAAAGCAUGGGUAGCGAACAGGAUUAGAUACCCCAGUAGUC